rnacentral:rRNA from 1 species
UACGUAGGGUCCGAGCGUUGUCCGGAAUUAUUGGGCGUAAAGGGCUCGUAGGCGGUCUGUUGCGUCGGGAGUGAAAACUUACAGCUUAACUGUGAGCGUGCUUCCGAUACGGGCAGACUUGAGGUAUUCAGGGGAGAACGGAAUUCCUGGUGUAGCGGUGAAAUGCGCAGAUAUCAGGAGGAACACCGGUGGCGAAGGCGGGUCUCUGGGCCGAAACUGACGCUGAGGAGCGAAAGCGUGGGGAGCGAACAGG